CAGUGUUACAGCUCUUUUAGAGCCAGCAAGUUUUCUGGUCCUCACCAGAAGACCUCC
rnacentral:snRNA from 1 species